rnacentral:rRNA from 1 species
UGACGAGUUUGAUCCUGGCUCAGAUUGAACGCUGGCGGUAUGCUUUACACAUGCAAGUCGAACGGUAGAGGGGGCAACCCCUUGAGAGUGGCGAACGGGUGAGUAAUAGUAUCGGAACGUGCCCAGUCGUGGGGGAUAACGUAGCGAAAGUUACGCUAAGUAUCGCAUACGAUCUAAGGAUGAAAGCGGGGAUCGCAAGACCUCGCGCGAUUGGAGCGGCCGAUAUCAGAUUAGGGUACGUUGGUGAGGUAAAGGCUCGACCAAGCCAA